UGACUUAACUAUGAGCCAACACUGAUAAC
rnacentral:piRNA from 1 species